rnacentral:lncRNA from 1 species
GCAUCCUCGUCGUCGCUCCCUGACUUGGACUCUGACCCCGACGACGAGGAGGCCGCAGCCCUGCCAGCCAUGGCGGCGCGGCCAUGGCGCGAGGGGGGGGGGAUCAGCUAUUGUCCGCGUGGGAGGUCGAUUCGGCGCCUGCGGAGCUCGAGUCGACAGCGGCGAAGGUCGAUUCAGUGCCUGCGGAGGUCGAAUCGGCGGCGGCGGAGAUGCUCCUGGCAGAGCUUGCUCGAUGCGCGGGGAAAAGAACGACGUGGGGAGAGGAGGAGGAGAUGGAUUUGGCGCGAAAAAAUCCCACGCGCGCCCAAAUUGUUGUCCGCGCGGCAUCCGCGUGUGGUCGAUGAAGACGAGGGCCGUACAACGCUGCUGAACCGUCUCUUCCCGCAAC